CAUAGACAGGUAGUACGUUAUUUAUUUAUUUUUUAUUUUUUAUUUUUUAUAUUUUAGAAAGACACGUAGUAGGUUACAUGCCGGAACAAACGACCACAGUUGGUUCGUUCGAGUGAAAUGGGGCUGCCGCAGGCCGUUUCCUCAGAAAAGAAAUGUCAAGAAUCAUACAAUUGUGAAUGGCAGCGGCGAAACACAUCUGGAUGGUUCGAGGACAAGGAAUUUCAAGGGUCUUCUUUCAUGAGGCAGCAGAUGGCAAGCAAGUCUUAAACAACCAUAUAGAUGUGAUAGAAGGAAUGCACAU